rnacentral:rRNA from 1 species
AGACUCCUACGGGAGGCAGCAGUAGGGAAUCUUCCGCAAUGGACGAAAGUCUGACGGAGCAACGCCGCGUGAGUGAUGAAGGUUUUCGGAUCGUAAAGCUCUGUUGUUAGGGAAGAACAAGUGCCGUUCAAAUAGGGCGGCACCUUGACGGUACCUAACCAGAAAGCCACGGCUAACUACGUGCCAGCAGCCGCGGUAAUACGUAGGUGGCAAGCGUUGUCCGGAAUUAUUGGGCGUAAAGGGCUCGCAGGCGGUUUCUUAAGUCUGAUGUGAAAGCCCCCGGCUCAACCGGGGAGGGUCAUUGGAAACUGGGGAACUUGAGUGCAGAAGAGGAGAGUGGAAUUCCACGUGUAGCGGUGAAAUGCGUAGAGAUGUGGAGGAACACCAGUGGCGAAGGCGACUCUCUGGUCUGUAACUGACGCUGAGGAGCGAAAGCGUGGGGAGCGAACAGGAUUAGAUACCCUGGUAGUCCACGCCGUAAACGAUGAGUGCUAAGUGUUAGGGGGUUUCCCGCCCCCUUAGUGCUGCAGCUAACGCAUUAAGCACUCCCGCCUGGGGGAGGUACGGUCGCAGAACUGAA